AAUAAGCGCGAAAACAACGGUGAGCCCUUUAUCAGGCGCUACAAACUCGUUGGUUUCCGAAUGGGGCAACCCACCUUGGAGCAAUUCAAGGUAAUCAAAACAGGAACUCUGAGGUCAGAAGUUGGAUUCGUAUUGCAAUCUUUGCUUCUGCCUUUCGAUUUCCUGUUUUGAUGGGGCACCUGGUGAACUGAAACAUCUUAGUAACCAGAGGAAAAGAAAACACUAGUGAUUCCGUCAGUAGCGGCGAGCGAACGCGGAACAGUCUAAACCUAGGUCGCAAGAUCUAGGGGUUGCGGGACCACAGUAGGGAGUAAUUUUCGAUAGAGGAAGGUUCUGGAAAGAACCGCCAUAGGGAGUGAUAGCCUCGUACUCGAAAUUGAGAAUUACCCUGGUGGAUAUCCCAAGUAUCACGAGGCACGGCAAACCUUGUGAGAAGCCGGGUCGGUCACGAUCCAAGACUAAACACUUAAACUGUCCGAUAGUGAACAAGUACCGCGAGGGAAAGGUGAAAAGCACCCCGGAAGGGGAGUGAAAUAGUUACUGAAACCAUUAGCUAACAAACAGACAAAGUGGUGUCGCAAGACUCCAUGAUGUCGUGCCUAUUGAAGAAUGAGUCAGCGAGUAUUCCGAUUAAGCGCUUUGUUUAAUUCCUUUUUGGAAAGAGACAUAGGGAAACCAAGUCCUAAUAGGGCGUCAAUAUGUGCUGUCGGAAUGACCCGAAACUGGGUGAGCUAACCAUGGGCAGGAUGAAUGUCACCGAAAGGUGACAGGAGGUCCGAACGCGUUGUUGGUGAAAUAACAUGCGAGGACCUGUGGUUAGAGGUAAUAUGCCUAUCGAACCCAGAGAUAGCUGGUUCUCCUCGAGAUAUAUUUAGGUAUAGCCCUCGGAAUAAACCUCUAUGGGGUAGAGCUACUGAAUGGUCCACCAAGCGCAAGCGAGGCGGAUCAAUCAAACUCCGAAUACAUAGAGUUCAGCCGGGGAGUCAGUCGAGUCCGGAUAAGCGGAUUUUGGCUAAAGGGAAACAUCCCAGACUCGCAUCUAAGGUUCUAAAAUGACUUUUAAGUGAAAAGGCCGUCAAAUUUCCAACACAGUUGGGAGGUUGGCUCAGAAGCAGCCACCCUUUAAAGAGUGCGUAACAGCUCACCAAAAUAGCCGUUCCUUCGGGAGCGGAGGAGAUAUGGCGCCCAAAAUGAUAGGAGCUAAAAAGUCUACCGAAGAUCGAGAUUUGCAAUACCUUCGGGUAUUGCAAGUGGUAGAGGAGCGUCCUUAAGACAGCGAAGCUUAAGCCGUAAGGCAAGGUGGAGUCUUAAGGAGCGAGAAUGCUGACAUAAGUAGUGAAUCUCUCGUUGAAAACACGAGAUGCCGUAAACCCAAGGUUUCCGAAGCAACGUCUUUCGGCUUCGGGUUAGUCGAAUCUAACCGCUCACCCGAUGGGUGAGGGGGAUGUACAAGCAGUUAAUAUUCUGCUACUUUAUUUUUAACGUUAUCACUUUAACUUUGACGAAGUUUGAUACCCCGCCCUUUCUAUAUGGGAGGUCAAGUAAUAAAUCGUUCCGCAAGGGAUGGCGAGUUACGAAUACAAUUCUGCAGCAAUGCGGGAGAGGCGGAAGACUUAAGUUUCCGGGAAAAGUUGUUAAAGGAGUUAAAAGUAAAUUCGUACCGCAAACCGACACAGGUAGGUUGGUAGAGUAUACCAAGGCAUACGGGUAAUGGUUGUUCAAGGAAUUCGGCAAAAAAGCUGAGCGUAAGUUUAUCAAGAUGCUCUGCCCAACGAAAGUUGGGCUUCAACAAAUGUUUGUCAACCGACUGUUUAGCAAAAACACAGGUUCCUGCAAACCCUAAUAGGGAAUAUAUAGGAGCUGAGGCCUGUCCGGUACUGGUAAGUCAACCAUUUUGGGUGACCCAAUUCAUUUGGUCAGCUCGAGAUGUAAGCUCCAGUGAACGACAGCUCUAACCCUGAGAGUUCUAAGGUAGCGUAGCCCCUUGCCGGGUAAGUUCCGGCCCGCAUGAAAGGCUUAACGAGUUGACAACUGUCUUGAACUGCCGCCCGACGAACUUGAAAUGGCUGUGAAGAUGCGGCCUACUUGCACAUGGACAAAAAGACCCCGAGAGCUUUACUGAAACUAGGUAUUGGUGGAAGGGAAUUAACUGUUGAGCGUAGGAGGGAGCCUCACGGCGACAAUGAAACACCUCUCUUUGAUUUUUUUUCACCUAAUCUGCAGCAAUGUGGAAACAGUGCUUGGCGGUCAGUUUAACUGGGGCGGUUUCCUCCAAAAAGGUAACGGAGGAGCACAAAGGUCAGCUUGGUUCGGAUGGAAAUCGAACUGUAAGUGCAUACGCAUAAGCUGGCUUUACUGCGAGAGUGACCACUCGAGCAGUUGCGAAAGCAGGUGUUAGUGAUCCCCUGACACGCAGUGAUUGCGGUCAGGGCUUAACGGAUAAAAGCUACCUCGGGGAUAACAGGCUGGUCGCAUCCGAGAGUUCAUAUCGACGAUGCGGUUCGGCACCUUAUGUAAUACACAUCGGGGCGCUAUGAGAGUAAUCUCAAGCUUGUAAUCCAAUUUGAUUUUGGGUCUUUUUGAAAUUUUAUACCAGCUCAAAACGGUGGACUCCUUCAAGCAAUUGAAGGACAAUACCGUGGGAAGUCACGGCAAAGUGCUGUUGACCCCGUAACGACUUGUCUUGGUCAGAGGACCAGGGCAGACUCGACAUUUAUGAAUGCCGGGUAAUAAGGCUGGCUCCGCAAGAGUGCGGAUGAAGGUAUAGUCUAAACUUUCAGGUAACUGGAAG
rnacentral:rRNA from 1 species